UGCUGUGGGUGCAGCCCUAAAAAGCAGGGGGAGAACGAGUCAUAUUCCUUGGGGUGGGAGGGGGGCAGACAAGUCACAGCAGCCGGUGACAAUAAGCAAAAUGCUCUUGGGGUCUCUUUAAGCAAUACAUAAACUUCGCACCAGACGAGCAGGUGGGCAGGAGGACAGAGAGAGAAGCAACCCUCAGGAACCCGGCCGCAAAUCAUUCUGAACAGCCCGCAGUUUGCCGGCGUCGUGGCACCUGCACUUCUCUCCAAGAGGAGCUACGAGAUGCCUCUCAGCUGUCCUCGACAUUAAAAUAAGAAAAACCCAAUAUUGAAUUUUCAUGCUUUUUAGAAGCAGUGGGAAACAAACCUUUCAGCAUUAUGUUUGUCUUUUUUUUGCUGUUUUUAUCUUUUGUCUUUUGAGGGCCCCCCCCUCCCCGUGGCAUGUGGAGGUUCCCAGGCUAGGAGUCCGAUCGGAGCUGCAGCUGCCAGCCUACACCACAGCUACAGCAAUGCCGGAUCCGAGCUGUGUUUGGGACCUACACCACAGCUCACGGCAAUGCCAGACCCUUAACCCACUGAGUGAGGCCAGGGAUCGAACCUGUAAUCUCAUGGUUACCAGUCAGGUUCGUUAACCGCUGAGCCAUGACCUGAACUCCUGUUAGUCUUUUUUCUCUUUUUUGGGGGGCGGGGGGGGGCAGGCCUGAAGAUGCAGAAGUUCCCAAGCCAGGGAUCAAACCCAUGCCACAGCAAUGACAAUUCAGGAUCCUUAACCCACUGAGCCACACUGGAACUCCCAAAUGAGUCUUCUUUUUCUUUCUUUCAUGGCCACACUCACAGCAUAUGAAAGUUCCCAGGCCAGGGACUACGUCUGAGCCACAGCUAUGACCUAGACUUUAGCUGUGGCAACCCUGGCUCCUUUAACCCACCACAAUGGGCCAGGGAUCGAACCCAAGCCUCCACAGCAACUCGAGCCGCUGCAGUUGGAUUCUUAAUUUUUAUAAAACUUCUUAUAGGAAUCCUUUCAACCACACAGAAAAUUUAAGAAUGUCAGAUAUAGGAGUUCCCAUCACAGCUCAGUGGAAAUGAAUCUGACUAGUACCCAUGAGGACACAGGUUUGAUCCCUGGCUUUGCUCAGUGGGUGAAGGAUCCAGGGUUGCCAUGAGCUGUGGUGUAGGUUGCAGACGUGGCUCAGAUCUUUCAUUGCUGUGACUGUGGCAUAGCCUGGUGGCUCCAGCUCUGAUUCGACCCCUAGCCUGGGAACCUCCAUUCCCAGAUGCAGAUGCAGCCCUAAGAAGACCAAAAAAAAAAGAAUGUCAGAUAUAAUGACUCUUCCAAAGUCUAACCACCACAAGCAGAUUAGGAAUCUACAGAAUUUAAAGAUCCAGGGUCACCAGUGUUGCGGCUUGGGUUGCUGCCAUGGUGCAGGUUCGAUCUUUAGGGUGGGGAUGUCUGCCUGUCACAGGUGCCGUGAAAGAGGGAGGGAGGGAGGGAGGGAGAGGAAGCAAGCAAGACACAACAAUGGAUGGUUCAAGACGCCUGUGAAGCGGUGGUGUCUGGGCAUGUGAGUGUCCAGAGCACAGGCCUGGGGACAAAAGGGUCCUACAGGUGGUCCCAUUUCCUUGACCAGCAGGAAAACCUCACACCAGGGACCCGGAGACCUGGGGUCUUGGACAGACAGUACCAGAAACAGAGUUUCAGCCGCUGUACCUCUCCUUCGCGCCACCACCAGGGUUUCUCAGGGGCUGUGGGGGGCCAUUUAUGCUUAAAGACCCUGUUCAGAGAUUUCUCUAGAGGAGGAGAAACAUCUCCUGCAAAUAACUGGCCAGCAGUGCGGACCCAAGAUGAAGACUGACCGUCUCCCUAAACACCUGGCCCACUGUGCAGUCACUGGGUCCCGCUGGGAAAAAGGAAGCGGUCACUUCCGGGCCGCUUGAAAGACAUGGCAUGUUCACCUCUAAAGGUAACUCGCUAAGACAGGUGGGCUACGUAAUAUAAAAUGUGUUCGUCUGGAGCUCGGGUUUUCUGCCUCAAGUUCAAGAACAGCGCCCUAGAUCACCUGUGACGGGGAACUGACUAACCACCCCUGGCUCGAGGGGGAGGACUUCAAACCCUCUACAAGAUGCACAAGGUCAAGUUUCCUGUCCCCAAGAGGUGUGUGUCACAGUCAGGAUGCCACUUUUUUUCGGAAGUUGGUGCUUCAGUGUCACCAGCUGUGUCCUUUGUGGACGGAAGCGCCUACUUCGCGCCCAGCUGUAGCCGGGGCCUGGCUGGCUCCUCCUGCCGCCCUCUGGGACAGGCCAGGGGUGGCCGCCAGCUCCAGGAGCUGCUGUCUCCCUCCGUCCGUCAUCCCUGGGACUUCAGCAGCUCAUUGAUUCUGUGUGAAGAUCUUCUCUGGGGGGCAGGGGGUGGGAGGGAGGCCACGGUCUGGGGCAGUGUCGCCUCCAGCUGCUUCAGGGGACAUGGCACUUCCGACCAUGUCGUUUCUGUUAACAGCUUGUGCACAUCCUAUGCACAUGCUGCACAAUUCAACAACUUAAAGGGCACGAUUCAUGGGUUUUGGCAUAUUCACAGAGCUGUCUCCACGUUAUUUGUGUAUUUAUUGGUCUUUCUAGGGCUGUACCCGCGGCGUAUGGAGGUUCCCAGGCUUGGGGUCAAAUCAGAGCUGUAGCCACCGGCCUACGCCAGAGCCACAGCAACACGGGACCCGAGACGCGUCUGCGACCCACACCACAGCUCACGGCAAUGCCGGAUCCUUACCCCACUGGGCGAGGCCAGGGAUCGAACCUGCAACCUCAUGGAUACAGGUUGCGUUCAUUACUGCUGAGCCACAAGAGAGACCACCCCCGCCUCCUGCCUGUUACUUUAAAGACAAACAUCUUAAAACGCCCGUGAGAACACUCGGGCAAAGCGGCAGCGGGCACCUUCAAGCCAUAUGCGGAAGCGCUGAAGAAAUCAAACAACUCAGAGCAGUAACAGGGCCCAGGCCCGCGUCGGAGUAAAGACAAAGCUCGAAGGCCUGCGUCUCGGGUCAGUUGUCCCAGAGCCGGGAGCAAGCCCGGAAGGGACGCCUGGGCCCGCGGGCCCCUCGGGGGCUGCGCCAGUGUCCCCUCCGGGGCCCUUCUCUGGAUCGAGGCCUCAGGCUCUGCUCCCCGCCAGGCGGGGGCCUGACCCUCAACCGCCUCUCUGCACACUCCUCACAGACACCCCUCGACCCAGCGCAGGCCCCAGGGACAAGCACCGGAGGGAAAGGCCACCACACAGGUAUCCAGCAUAGGUCACGGUGCCAAGCCUGGAGCCAGACAGCGGCGCAUCUGCCCAGAAGCCCUCUGGCUGCUCUUCGGCCUUCGACGGUUUGGGCGGCCGGGGGGUCCCUGCCUCCACAUCUCCCGAACAUGCUCCUGGCGCUCUUGCCUGGCUUGUCAGAUGGACCGUGACGUCCCGGGCUCUUGGGGUGCAAGGCGGCAUUCUCCUUGCCCCAGGCGCAGUCUGGCCCGGCCUUGUGCGGCCUGCACGUCAGGGACCUCGCAUUUUCCGCGGGAGACCUCACACCAUUUCUUCCUUUACCCGGCGGUUCCACAGCCUUCACGACACCCUCCUGCCCGCGGCACCAGCCGCUGGUGCCCUCUGCCCCUGGGGCAGGCUGCACGCUGCGCGGCCCGAGCUUCCUCGGCGGCAGGGCUGCACUCCUGCUCCCGUGGGCAGGAGCCCGUGUGUAGCUGCCGCUGGGAGGCCGCCCGGCCGCUGCUGUGGGUGCUGCGGCGUCUGCCACCCACCCAUCCUGAUGCUCUAUGGGGGGCCCGCUUCCGUCUCCGGCAGGUAUCGAGCAGCCUCUCCGCACUGGCAGAAUCCACCGAACCUGCCAGGGGUGCUUCCCCUCAGGAAGAGCCCUUUCACCCGGAGACCGUCCCCGAGUCCACACGUGCCCUCGGAGCCGCGCGAUGCACCGCGCCCUGCCCUCGCUUCCGCCAGCUGGGCCGGCACCGCGCCUCGGCCGGCAGGCACUGCCCUUAUCUGGCAUGGCCUGGGCUCUCUGCCUUUCAGACGCCUUCUGGGAUGCAGUCUGGACGUGAGCUUCAUUUUUAAAGAAGUGCUUGCAUCUCAUUUUUAAUUUGCUUUCUGGUUCUCUGAACAUGAUGCCUUCCUUUUUCUGACACCACCAAGUUCUGUUUUCCACGUUCUCUUCUGCUCUCGGCACUGGCUCUGCUUCCUUCCAGGGCCUUCUGCCUUUGCCUUUCUUGUUUUGGUCUCUGCUUUCCUCCCGGAGGCUUGCACGAAGUCUCUGAGCUCCCUAACCGUCCCUCACACUUAAAAGGUGGUCAUUACAAAGCGGAGGAAAAGCUAGGUCUUCCUGGUGGGCUUGUCGACUGGGAGCUUCACUGCAGGUGCCCCGGGCAGAGACAGCUCCUGGGCUGUUGGGUGCCCCAGGAACGGACGCCCUGGGGCCGGGUCCUGAGGGGCGUGGGCGACGGGAGAGCCGUGAGGGGCAAGCGGGAUGAACACGGCUCGUGCUAACAGCAGCAGGCAGCUGGCCGCGAAGACGGAAGCUGCUGUGCUACAAGAAGGCCACGCAGGCGACCACGGGGUGGUCCCUAGGAGCCGAGGACGCUGCCUGCCAACCUCCAGCAGGAAAACAGGGAUGUCAGGAGUUCCCGCUGUGGCACAAGGGGACCAGCAGCGUCUCAGGAGACCUGGGAUGCAGGUUUGAUCCCCAGCUUAGCACAGUGGGUUAAGGAUCCAGCCUUGCUGUAAGGUUACAACUAGGGCUGGGAUCUAAUCCCUGGCCUGGGAACUCUAUAUGCCACAAGGUGGCCAGAAAAGCAAAAAGAUAACAGGGCUGUCAGCCCCACAAGUGUAAGGAACUAAAUUCUGUCAACUACCUGAAUCAAGGUGGUGGAGGCCCCAGGGCCCCUGGUGGGAAGGCAGCCUGAAGAGAUGCUGAGAUGCUGAGCAGGAGGGGUGGGGCACGGUGCCCCUGGCAGAGGGCACAGCUGGUGCAAGAAGCCUGCGGAGGCCAGCCUGCGGCACACAGAGAGCCUGCAGGAGGCUGGUGCCCUGGGAGAGCUCUGAGCACAGGAGCACAGGGGGCCCUUAGCAGAGCUGUGCGGCUGCCUGUGACAAGGGGCUGCAGGGUGGGGCAGCGACCGGUGCGCCCACAUUCCAAGCAGAGCAACAGAGAAGGCCUGACAAUGGGGGGCCCCAGACGUCUCCUGACGACAGAGCCAGCAGGGGUUCCCGUGGGUCCGAUGGAGGAGGGAGAAAGUGGCUCUGGCCUGGGGCACUGGCAGGGUGGGCUGGCAGUUGCCUGAGGCGGGGACCCUGCAGGUGGCACUCAGAGCUUCAGCCAUGAGUCGGAGACGUGCAGCUGACAUCUGAGCUCAAGCCAAGGGCUGGGGUAACGGUGAGUGUCAUUAGCAUGGCAUCAAGGCCACACUCGGCGAGAGCUGAGAGUGAGACGGUGUGUGUGGGGGGGACACCAGCCCUGGGCCUCCAACCAGUCAGGACCAGGACCAGGACCAGGACCAGAGAGAUGAGACCCAACAAGCCAGCUGUGCUCAGCGCUGCCUCAGGUUCCCUGGUAAAAGAGACUCAGGAGCCAGACGCAGCAGCGCAGGCGAUGGAGAAGCAGGGUCGCUUCGCUGAGGCUCUGCCCUGUGAAAGGCCGGGCAGCGCGGUCCGGCCGCCUUCGGCUGGGACGAGACAGGAUGUAAAAGUGACCGCCUCGACCAGGGCUGGGGCUUCAUGCGGCAUCUGUUUCCAAACCAGCGACAGAAGCUGGGCCGCAGCGGUGACAGCACGGAGCCCUAACCUUGAGGCUGCCGGGCAACUCCCUCGUCUCACGCGUUCCUACCACUCAGGGCACGAAGCCGGGCCCACGGCUGUGUGACCAUCCCCGUCACCGCCAGAGCCCCUUCAUCUCCCAGCCGAGCACCCGCGGGGCCCUGCCUCCCCCGGCCCCCUGUCUCCCGUCUGUCCCUUGAGGUGACGCUCUGGGGCCCUCGGGGAAGUGGAACCGAACGCGACCGUCUUCUGCGUGUCACCGCUCACUCGCUGAGUGUCCUCCGGGUUCCCCCACGAGGGUCCCCACGGUGGAACGCGGUCCUGCACGCGCACACCAUGUUCAGGGCGCCCCGCAGGCUGGCCGUGCACCUGCAGUUGCCUCCAUCCCUCGACAGGGCUACCACGGACAAGGGUUUGCAAGCGCCUCGUGUACGAUUCUAAGGGAAAAAGGGCACAAGCCAGGUGACACAACACACAACACCCAGAAGCCUGGCUGAAUACGGCCAGGCGACUUCUCAAGACCGUCCACACACACUGCGGUCAAGGAUUCUCCCCACCUCCUGCCCUAACCCCUCACAGCGCCUGAGCGGCUCCACCGACCUCCUGGGCCGGAGCUGGCUGCUUUCCCUUCUCGGAUCAAGGAAGCCCCCCCACCCCCGGCCCCACAUGAGCUUCCUGCUGCUGCAGACUCAGCAGUGUUCCGAGAGCUGUGGAGGUCAGGGUCCAGAACAAGUCUUCGGGCCAAAAGCAGGGAGUGGGCAGGGCUGGAACCUUCCGGAGGCUCCGGGGAGAGUCUGUUCCCUACCUUCCGGCUGCCAGCGCUCGCCAUGGGGGCUGCACCCCAGCGCUGCUUCCCCCGACACACCGCCAGCUCCUCUUCUGCAGUCAGGUCUCCUCUGCGUCCCCCUCCUAAGGACCUUUGGGGCCGUGGUUCCGAGUCACACUCAUUUCCGCUGCACCACGACGGGAACUCCUCUGGCCACUUCUUUCCUCGAAGAAAUCUGGCUUAUGUGAAUGCUGCCUUGGCCCUUGAUUCUCACCCUCUGUGGACGGGCGCUGCCCCGGUCCAUC
rnacentral:lncRNA from 1 species